GCUUGUUGGACGGCUCGGUUCCCGCGUCGAUGAAGGACGUAGCGAGAUACGAAAGGUGUUGCGAAUUGCAAGAUUUCGCGAGUCAAUGACCAUCCGAAUGCAUCGCCGCCCUUCCUUCGCCUUCGGGCGGAGGGAGGACGCGUCGGCG
rnacentral:rRNA from 1 species